rnacentral:rRNA from 1 species
CCUACGAGUGGCAGCAGUGGGGAAUAUUGGGCAAUGGAGGCAACUCUGAACCAGCAACGCCGCGUGAGCGAUGAAGGUCUUCGGAAUGUAAAGCCCUGUCGCAGGGGACGAAGUAGGACGGGACACUGUAAGAAAGCCACGGCCAACUACGUGCCAGCAGCCGCGGUAAUACGUAGGGGGCUAGCGUUGUCCGGAAUUACGGGGCGUAAAGGGAGUGUAGACGGAUGUUCAAGUUCAGGGGGAAAGCCUGCGGCUUAACCGCAGAAUUGCACUUAAAACUGACUCGCUAGAGUGCAGGAGAGGUGAGCGGAAUUCCUAGUGUAGCGGUGGAAUGCGUAGAUAUUAGGAGGAACACCAGAGGCGAAGGCGGCUCACUGGACUGUAACUGACGUUGAGGCUCGAAAGCGUGGGGAGCAAACAGGAUUAGAUACCCGAGUAGUC